GUGUACGUGUCACCGACACCUGUACAUCUUGCAUGACAGAGAGAGAAAGUGAAGUGCUACUCUACAAAGCCAAGCAGUUUGAGUUCCUAUCUACUUCCUUUUCUUUUGGUCUGGUGAGAGUGUGUGGGUAACAAGAGAAGAUAAGAGAGAUACAUACACCGAAGGGUUCUUUCUCUCUUCUUGUUUCUUUGACCUUCUUGCGGUGGCUAUUGUUUCUUUGUUUUUUUGAUCUCUUGGAGAGAAACCCUAAAUCUUGAUUGGGUUUUGACAUACAAAAGAGAGCCAAUUGUAGAUUUUUGGCAACUUUCCUUAAAAGGGUACCCGUUGUUUCUCAGAUCUGACUCAUUCUUUUGUACAUUUUAUGCUCUCUCUUACCUUUCCAUUUUUGGGUAUGUUUUAUCUUCCACUCAGAGCUCAAAACUAGAACAGAAAAGGUUUUGCUUGCUUGUUUUCUUUCCCGUUUUUUCCAGCUUCUGGGACAUUAGAAAUUGACAGAAGAGAGUGAGCACACAGAGGCAUAUUUGUAUAAAAUUAUACCAUUGCUUUUGCGUGCUCAUUUCUCUUUCUGUCACUUCCAGAGCCGGAAUCUGAUCUCUUCUCUCUUUGAUGAUCAUCUUUUGGCCUGUUUUUUGCUCCAGAAAUUAAUUUGUUCUCUCUAAAUCUUUUUUAAUUCCCUCUCUUUACACACCCAAACAAAGAGAACUCCUGGAGAAGAAAUUAAAGAUGGUGGUGCAUCGUAGGCAAAAAAGGAAAGGAAGCAGCAAGAUAUCCACUUGGGGUUUCGUUUUUGUUGUUUCAAUUUUAUUAGUUUAUUGUGUAUUAAAUUGUUGUUUAGUUUAAUGGCGUUGCUUUUGAUGGUAUUUGAGACUGAUUACUGUGCAACUUAUAGCGGAAAAACACUGUGUAGAGUAGUAUAUAUAUUCAUAGCAUGGGACCGUUCCAUUCGCGGGAUCUCUAGCUAAGUUUUUCUGAGCAUGGUCCAGCUUACUUGCAAAGCAAAAACCGUUCUUUUCUUUUCUUUGCUCGUCUCUUGCGCAUGCGAUUAUGCUAUGUACUCGAGACGCAUCUGAUAUGACCUUGUUUUCACCUGAAUCUGCAAGAAUCUAGUAGCUUGUACUUUUUUUUUGUGAAAAUGGGUUUUCCUUUUUAUUGGCUCAAAACCCUAGUCUAGCUGCAGAUAGGGUUGCUUGUUGUACGAGUACAAGAAGGGAUUGCUGGUGAGUAGUCUUUGCUUUGCACUUGGUAAAACACUGAUCUGAUCUUUUUGCAUUGGCUCUUGGAAAUGGGUUUUGUUUUACAUUUGUGUUCUUGUUAUGGUACAUGUUCGAUUUGAUGUGAAUGUGAUAUUUUUGUACAAAGAAGAGACAGAAAGUCUUCAAACUUAUCGUAUGAUGUUCUUUCCAGAAAUAGGAAAUUUCUGCAGCCAUAGUUGCUCUUUGUUGUAGUUUUUUUUUUUUAGCUUUUGCAGAUAAGCCAUGGAUAGUCAACUCAUUUAUCAUGGAAGAGACAAAAGCAGGUCUGCAAGCACUUCAGAUAGCAGACAUUCAGCAUUUAUAGCACAGACAUCUGUUUAUUUUAUGUAGUUUUUGACUAGUAAGUUUCUUUCUUCUAUUCUGGAUUCACAUCAAGAUAUAGUCCAAGAUUCUUGAUAAGAUUAGAGAAAUGAAGGUGUGUUAUCAAGCCAAAGAAGUUUCCAAAUGUUGUGUUCUACCUUAGUCUGCACAGUCUUGAUAAACUGUAAGUUAUGAUACAGCAUGAGUUUUGAUUAAACAUUUACAGAAAAUUCUUAAGACAUUUUUCAGAUUUCUCAUCUUUUGAUAUUUCCUUUUUAUCUGUUGUUGUCAUCAUUCUUGGUUUCAGCAACAAUCAUAUAAAUUGGAUUGAACUCUGUGCUAUACUGCAAGAAAAUUUCAUUACUUUCUAUGUAGAAUCAGAAAGAGUCGAUCUCUAAUUUUUGUGUUGUGACUGCAAUACAGCACAAAAUUUUGUUUGUUAUAUCAUGGCAGGGUCAUCCCGAAGAGUAUGAGCAUGGUGAUAGUUUUGGAUGAUGACUUAAGGGCCUUCAAUUGCUUUAGAGAACAAAUGGUGGCAAUGAUCCAUGGAGUGUUUAAUAACUCGUUGUUUGCCAAGGUGAUUUCAACAGUAAAGAAAAGAAUAGAUAUCAAAUGCAUAUGUUCUUGAAAUAUUAGGUGUGCAUCAAGAUUAAAAUGUAGGCUUAAUUAAAGCUUAGCGAAACCCAAUUAGGACAAGGGAGAUUGUGGAAACCUAGUGAUGACACCUUAUGGCAAUGGGGAAUCUUAUCCCAUAGCUAAGCUUGGAUUGUUCAUCACCCUUUUGGCCUCUCUAUUUAGGUGAUAUGAUGGAGUACAAAGGUACUUGACACGUGACAAGAUGUAGUACAAAGGUACUUCACACACAUCUUAAUUAGGACUUGCAAUCUACAUGCAUGAUAAGCCAUAGCCAUAAUCCUUAUUUAAUCUUACAACACGGCAUAAUAUUGUGACUCAUGCAUAAGAUCUUGUAUUCCUUUUUUUUUUUUUUAAGUUGAAUUUUAUGAUUUAAUUCAUAGAUGUUUCAAUUUUAUUACUCUUCCCUUUUCAAGAGCAUGGUUGUUUUUGUAUUUUAAAAAUAUUUUUAAAAAAAUUGAUUUUUUUUUGUUUUAAAUUUUGUUUUUGUUUUCUGAUCGUUUUUAUGUUCUAAUAUUAAAAAUAAAUUUUAAAAAAUAUUAUUUCAAUAUAUUUUUGUAUAAAAAUUAUUUUGAAUAUUUUUGAUAAAUGAUGAAACUUGUCGUGAGGUUAUGAUAGUAUAUGCCAAUCUCUACUUAAUUUACAAGCAAACUUCCUCUAUAAAAAUGAGUUUUUUUUAAAAAAAUUUCAAAAGUUGAUAAAAAUAAUUAGUAAACUAUAGCAUAGCUAAGAAAAAACUAAAUUGUUGUGCCUCCUUAUAAAUAAAUAAAAAAUUAAGAAGGGUCAGCUACAUCAUUAAAAAAAAAUUAAACUAUUAAAGACUAGCCCAUGGAUCUAUUAAAUGAGACUAUACCUACAAGUAAUUUUGAAAAAAUACCUAAAACCUUGAGCUUUUCCUUUUGACAUUGAAAAAUUAUACUUUGCAUAUUUAGCUGAGAAAACCUUAUAGUCUGAUCAACAAUUGUUAUUAUAAUUGAUUUAAUAUUAAAAGUGCUCUUUAUAGUUUUUUUUUUUUUUAAUCUUCUUCUCCCUCCUACCAUUGCUUUGGAUUCCAUAUCAAAACCCAAGUAUUCCUCCUUUGCCCACCACUAAAUCAACAUGACUACUACCACUCCCUUCGCCCACCAUGCACUCUCGAUCUAUCCCAAAAGACAAACAACCACUAGUCAGAAAAGAUUCUGGACAAUUCUUUCAACUUGGCGAAUCUAGGGUUCUUCCAUAUAGCACCCACUAACCAUGGAUUUGCUUUGUUCUUGAAAGAACCUGGAUGCACUAGCUCUUUAAGUUUGAGAUUUUAUUUUUAGUUUCUGGUUUGGAUUUGGGGUAUCCUUAAGGAUAAAUUAAGAUUGUGGGGGCUGACUUCAUGGGUGGUUUGGUUGUUGGGUUUUGCAAGGUUUUUUAAUGUAGUUUUGAUAUCAAUUAAUGUAGCUCGGACAUAGACAAACAAAAUUAACUAACAUAGAUGGAAACAGCACAUAAAAACAACAAUUAAUGAUCAAGAAAGCUAAAAUUCUGCUGAAAAGGUUUCCAUCAUAAGAAUCAUACUUCAAUUUUUUAUUAUUCAAAUAUUUUCAGCUACUUAUAUACUAAGAAAAAAAUCUAAAAAAAUAACUAUAGAGUUUUAAACUUAAAAAAAAAUCCUAAACAUUGUAAGGACUACACAAUGACUUCUAGGCCUAACUUAAGGGCUUAACAAUCUCACAUGGCUAAAAGAUCAGAUCCUAUAUGGAGCAGGAUCUUCUGAUGAUUCUCCUCGAAAAUUUUUAGCUUUAUCUAAUUAUCGGAUUAAAAUUUAUACCCUUUACCAUAAGAUUUAUAUUUAGCCAAAAAUUAUGUGUAUCACACUUUAAAAUAAUUCAGAGGAUAAUUUUUUUUUUUUAUUAUGAGGCAAAUUGAUGCAAAGCUUCUUUUAGAUUAUUUUUAAUGGGUUUUAUGUUUGGUAAACAUAAUAUAUAUACACCACUCACCUUUUCUUAUUUUGGCCAAUCUAGCCGGACCAAUUAGCUUGACAAGGAAGCUGAAUCUCUCCCACAUAAUCAAGGUAGAUGAUGAAGAAUAUUGAGCCUCAUGCCUGCUUGUAAAGACAAGCUCGCCUUAUGCCUACUUUCUGGUUUUAGUUUUCUUGUGAAUUACAGAGAACCAUUCCUAGGGUUUCGUUACCUCUACCAAAAAGCAUCAACCAAAAUAAAUAAAUAAAUGAAAAGCAGAUACAAGGGCGGACUCGAGUUUUCACCAGGGCCCUGCAUACAUCGGCUUCGAAAGCCUUCAAAGAUCUUGCAUGGAAAGAGAGGGGGGAUGCUGAAACAACUGCACACGAUUUUUACUAGAUCUUUGGAGAAAAAAAUCUGCAGAAAUAUGACUUACCUUACGUUUUUUCAGUGCCUGAGCUUGUUUUAAUGUAUAAAUUUGUAUGGCAAUGUGUGGAAACAGUUUAUCCACUUCUUUUCUGACUGAUGGGGACACAAAAAAGUGCUAUGGCGGGAAAAUACAGGGAUGAUUCCCAAAUCCCAACUGUUUCUUCUUCCAGCAGGCUGUACCGUUUUCUGUACUGUUUUUGGGAAGUACUGUGUUUUGAGAACAGGGCAUUUUAUGACUCCAUGAUUUCACUUCUUUUUUUUU